AGGAACACGUGGGUGACCUACCUCGAAGUGAGGGAUACCGGCGAGAAAUCGCCGACAAUCCCGCAUAGGUUUCCUUCUUCGGUGGAAGCGGGAAACAAAGCUUUUCUUCGCGAGAAGAGGGGCGCUUUGAGAUGGGCCCGCGGCCGAUUAGCUGGUUGGUGGGGUAAGAGCCUACCAAGGCGUCGAUCGGUAGCUGGUCUGAGAGGACGACCAGCCACACUGGGAUUGAGAACGGCCCAG
rnacentral:rRNA from 1 species